rnacentral:rRNA from 1 species
UACGUAGGGUGCGAGCGUUAAUCGGAAUUACUGGGCGUAAAGCGUGCGCAGGCGGUUCGUGAUGUCUGGUGUGAAAGCCCCGGGCUUAACCUGGGAAUUGCAUUGGAAACUAGCGGGCUGGAGUGUGGCAGAGGGGGGUGGAAUUCCACGUGUAGCAGUGAAAUGCGUAGAGAUGUGGAGGAACACCGAUGGCGAAGGCACCCCCCUGGGCUAACACUGACGCCCAUGCACGAAAGCGUGGGGAGCGAACCGG